rnacentral:lncRNA from 1 species
GAAGUAAGAUAAGGUGGUGUCCGGAGUAUGGGGUCUGGAGCUUGACUACCUGGAUUCAAAUCCCUGCUCAGUCAUCUCUUGGCUGUGUGACUUAAGAUGAGAAGAUACAUCUGCUUCUACUUCUAAGAGUUGGUGAUUCUCAUCCUUCUCUCUGCACUUGCCCUUGCCGUGUCCUUGGUCAGCACAGAGGAAGGACAACAGCCCAUCUCCCUCACAUCGGAAGUGGCUCCACAAGUUGGCCUUCACUGCCAUCAACCCUAACAGGUGUGGUGCUCUAUCUCCACAGUCCUCCAGAGCGCCCUCAAGUCCCUCAGGGUGUCUUUACUCCAAGAAGGGGUUCUAGACUAGACAAGCAGAGGUGUUGCAGAAAGGAAGAUACUGCAAAGGGUGUGCUCCCCAAACUGGGGAAGACAUAUGGGCAGAAGGGCCUGGGCUGGACCUCACAUCCAUCCCUCUUCCCUUGGGGUCCUUGACCACCCUUGAGAAUGGCACCUACAUGCUCUAAUUCUCCAUAAAAUCCAGAGGCAAAAUGUCCCUGCUGUAAAGACCUUGAACCCUUUUUGGGAAGGUUUUAUGAACUUAAUAUCAUGGGUUGCUCUAACCCCAACCUUUGUCCUGACAGCAUCCGCUCAGGGAGUUUGAGAUUCAGCCAGUCUGUAAAGAGCUUCAGAUCCAGGGCUUUGAGGUGGGGAGAAGUGGUCACCUUGGAGAAAGCAGGAAACUGUGGCCAGCUGGGGCAUUCUUUGCUAUAGAUUCCAAGAGACAAACUUGCUGAUCCCAGGUCAAUUCUGCCCCUGCUUCCCUGCAUCUAGAACCAUCUCUGACUCCACCUCCCAUUAACACCCCAGAACAGAUUCCCUACCCACCUCCUCAAGAAGAACAUUGCCUCCGGGGAUUUUCUAAGAGUUUUUAGGAUAAGCAGCAGUUAGAAGCUAACAAUAAGUAAAAUUUCCAGAAAUCAAGAGAAACUUGCAAUGUUCCUUGACACUUUAAAUGAUGCACUUGAAACAAGAGGCUUACAUUAGGAUCUAAAUUAGAGUUCUUGAGUGGCUUUUUGUAUUUUUUCUUUCACGUUAACCUGACUACAACUUUAUCUUCUCCAUUCACUUCCAAGAAGUCCUUAUAUAAUAAAGAGUUGAAGGCUGAAGCCCUUGCUUCCUCAAUAGGGGGCAGGCUCACCAGCUCCAUCUUGUCAGUUACCUCUUAAUGGUUGGUAGGAUGAGGGAAGCUUUCUCAAAAGACAGUUAAAAUAGUGCUUUAAGAAAUCCUCCGCCAAUAAAAAGUUGCUUCCAGAGUUAUAAAGUCAGUUUUCUUAACCUCUCAAUCUCAACUCAACUCAAAUUACAAAGUUUACAUGCCUUUGGGGAUGGCUGUAUUAAGUAAAUAGAGAGGAAUGGUCACAUUCAGUGUAAGCUAAAACACCCAAGGCUGGCAGUAGGAAAAGGAGCUACCUACCUAUCAGGUCUUUCAUAAAGCCAGUCCCUUAAGUAGAAAGAAUAAAGUUCUCUCAAGACUUACCCUAUGGACUGCCUUUCACAGCUGGUUCAUAUUUAUAAGCCAAUUUGUCUGGAAGUAAAUCUCUUUAACACACCCAACUGACUCCAAGAGGUGUGUCCCAUGGGAACCAAUCUUAAAUAACCGUCUCAAGAAAAGUUUUAGCAGCAAUAUUGUCAGUCCUGGAAUUUCCACCUUUGGGGGGAAAAAAAUCAACAAUAGAAUGCUUGGAAAUACAGAAUACACAGAGUUUAGCAAACUGCCAAAUUAAAUUCAGACACACACACACAAAUCUGCUAAUACCUAGUUAAAGAGUUGGCAUGGGAAGAAACAGACUUCUCAUUCAAGCCUGAAGCUCGGUAAUGGGUCAUUUGACCUGAAAUAACUUGGGCGGAAGUUGGCCUUAUUGUCUUCCACAAUCUCUUCCCACGCAGUCAAAAAAGGGGAUGCAAUCUUAAGAUUUUUUCUUCCUCAUUCUCUCCCGCCCUUUCUCCUCUCCCUCCCUCCCUUUUAUUUUCUCUCUCUCCUUCCUUCCUUCUUUUCUUUCUCUUUCAAUCUUUGGGCAUCAAAAAGGGUAUCCCAGAAAACUUCAAAUGAAGUUUUAGAAGAGGACCGUGUGUUGGUUUCAGUUGUUUUUAGGGUGGGGGCUUGAACAACCUCAUCUCAAAAACGGAGAUUUUUUUUAUUACCUCUUUUGGUUGAGAUAUAAUUAAUAUAUAAUAAAGCUAUCUAAUUUACUGAAUUGGUCUGAUUCACAAGUUAAAUAAGGUUAAAUCAAAGAAAACAUGUAUAAGUCCCUCUAGACAGUGUCCAGGGUUGACUGGAUUAUAAACAGACAUAACCAUUGAGGUCACUUUUUAAUUUAAAAACCCUCAAUGGCUCCUGACUUCCUACAGAACAGUCUAAAAAUCUAAGGCUCAAAAAUGUCAGGCUCUCCUUUCUAGUGCUACCUGCUGCCCCCAUCUCUUAUACAUACCAUUUGUCAGAUGCAACCAGAUAAUAGAAAUUUCCAGUCUCUCAGCUUCCUCCUGCUGCCCCAGGUCUGCUUAUCAAGGCCCUGCCCAUCCUUCAAAGUCAGAAGUCAUCUCCUCCAUGGAGUCCUCCAGCAUGUGAACGUUCCCAAGGAUGGAAUAAACACCAUUUCUUAUGACAUGCCACUCGGUGGCCUCAGCAGGACCUGGAUUGGAUUUCUGUAUCAGCUCCUUACCUGCUGGAUGCCCUGGAAUGAGAGACUUGAUUACCUCUUGCCUUCAUUUUCCUCAUCUGUAAAACAAGGAUGGUGUUAUUUUUAUUUCCUGGAUCAGAGGGAGGAGGACAUUAAUAUAUGAAUUAGAUUAAUAUAUGGAAAGAACAUGAGGCCAGCCCCUGCCCCCAGGUAAGUGGUGGUGGUGGCAGUGAUGGCGGCAGAAGUAAAUGUUACCAUUCAAACACACCUGCGAGUUGGAAGGAACCUCCUGCUAAUGGCGCAUGUGUUCUAAAGAGGUUGUCUGUUAACUUGUCCCCUAGUAAUUUGGGACGUCGGUGUCUGAAUUUUUAAAUUCCGGGAUUCCCACUUCCAUGUUUUUCCACCCACUCCUGACAGCACUUUGGGAAGUAAGAAAGAAAUUCAUUUCAUCCUAGUUUUCUGGACCUCUUUUUUCCUAUUCCACCAAGCUCUGUGUCUUCAACCCCAGGUGCCCUAUCGCAGGGUGAGGCACGCAGUGGGGAGCCAGAGUGAUGCUCCUGUAAUAUGAAUAAUUUGGACAUUUCUCUCCCCAUUCUAUCUAAUAGGUCUUUCUACAUAAUCCUUGUAUCCCCAGGAACUGGUCCUUCUCCCUGGAUUUCUGACCACAUCUUCUUACUGAUUCCUCGAGGACAGCUUCCGCUAGAGCUUUGCUAGUUCUGAACUCCUCCUUCUCAGCCAUGCUUCAUACUCAUUCUGUACCCCAAUUAACUGCUCGGGGGGCAACCAGCCUACUUCCAUGUUAACUUGAACCUCAAGCAGCCAGGCCCUCCAAGGUAUUCGGGUGACACUGAGUUCAGACCCAUCUUGUUUAUCCUCUCUAUGUAGCAUUAACCAUCAAAAAACAAAACAAAACAAAAAAAAACCCAUAAGAAAUUAUGGUUCAAAGAGUAUACUUUUGAUAUUGAAAUUAUUGUACUUUUCUCUAGGUCCUUGAAAAUCAGUUAUUUGUGAAGGCAUUUAUGGUAAACUUUGGCCGACUGGAAUAUUCAGUUAACCAGAACACUUGCAUAAUGUGAAGCUGUAAACACUUAGAUUGACCAGCUACUCUAUGUAAGCUCUUUGCUAGAUAUUCUGGGUUAGCAAUUCUUGACCUUUGUCUGUGGAAUUCUGCGAGGUUCACAAAUGGACUUUAGGAAUGUAUGGACCCAUUGAGUUUGUGUGCAAAAUUUUAUAUUUGCAUAUUUAUGUUUUGUUUUGUUUUGUUUUCCUACAGAAAAAGAGUCCAUACUGUUGCUAAGUUACAAUUAGACCUUAUGUCAGGACCCUAGAUGAUUAAGCAUUUUCUCCAUGGCAUGUGCUUGGAAAAGGAUGCUUUAUGCAAGAAUGUCACGGAUGGAUAAAAGUUACCAAGACUUGCUAUAUAGCACAAGGAACUCUACCCAAUAUUCUGUGAGAACCUAUAUGGGAAAAGAAUAUGAAAAAGAAUGGAUAUGUUGGAGUCCCUGUUGUGGCUCAGCAGUAACGAACCUGACUAGGAUCCACGAGGAUGCAGGUUCAAUCCCUGGCCUCACUCAGUGGGUUAAGGAUCCGGCAUAGCUCUGAGCUGUGGUGUAGGUCGCAGAUGUGGCUCGGAUCCUGAGUGGCCCUAAAAAACAACAACAAAAAAUGGAUAUGUGUAUGUGUAUAACUGAAUCACUUUGUUGUACAGCAGAAAUUAAUACAACAUUGUAAAUCAACGACACUUCAAUAAAACUUUUUAAAAAAUGGAAAAAA